ACGGCUCCCGUAAACAACUGAGAACCGGGAGGAUGCGGGCAUCAUGGAGAGAACAUAGUCAAUGUGAGGGUUGGGGAUAGGUUACGAAGAGAUGAAGACAUGUGAAUGCAAGAAGCAGGAGAAAAAGAUCUCCAGAUGUAAGAAGAUACAAUAGGAGAUUCAGAUUCUUCUGAUCCUGAACUUUAGAGGCUUCAUGAAUGGACGCCGAGCAACAAUCGCCAAACAGGGAUAUUGCGUGGGGGACCACUUCAACAGUGAAGGACAUUCAGCCUCGGAACU